GACCCAACUACAGAGUAGAGCCCCCUCAAAAAAAAACUACAGAGUAGAGUACACGACCUCGCAUCCUCACAUCCCGAUUCAUAGAAACCACCAGCAGCCAAUCUCUCGUUCUCCCACUGCUAACCCUAGCCGCCGCCUGCUGCUUGCCUCGAUGCGCGCUGCGCCCCCCUGAAUGAAGAUCGGCGCCCGAGCGGCGGCCCUAGCCGGUGAAGACCGGCGCCCGAGCGGCAGGCCUGGCAGGUGAAGACGGGCACCUCGAGCGGCGGCCCUGAGCCCCUGACCGUGAAGACUGUCGCCCUGCGCCGCCGCCAACCCCAACCUCCCGUCGGUCGCUCCACCGCCUACGACGCGGCCGUCCGCUGCCGGUGCUCCACCUCCCGACGACCUGCCCACUUUUGGUUCUCAACAUCGCAGCUGAAGAUGUUUUCUGAACAUGAUGACAAACUGAAUGAGAAUCAAGAUGCAUUUAUGAGUGUAGAGGCAAAGGCAGAUGCAGAAGCAGCAGCUGCAGAAGCAGGAGACGAAUCUUCUUACUUUCUUUCAAAUAGAAAUGAUUAUGCAUGCAUGAAUCUUGUUGCUGGACCAUGAAUCAUGAAUGUUCUUACUUUGUGUCAUAUGAAUCUUGUUACUUGCUCUCAAAUGUAAACAUGUACUGGUACUUUGCUACUUGCUGUUGCAUAUAAACAUGUAUUGGUACUUUCUGCUCUCAAAUAUAAACAUGUAUUGGUACUGGAAGUCUGGAAGUAACAUGAAUAUGAGUUCUAGCAAAUUAAUUUGGUCUAUUUGGUCGGGACCGAAGACCGAAUUGUAAAGACCGAAGACCGAAUAGUGAAGAACCGAAAAGACCGAAAUUAUUUCGGUCUUCAAUUCUGGAAGACCGAAUUAUUGGAAGACCGAAAAGACCGAACCGAAAAGACCGAAUGCCCGGGGCUACUGGUGAGGCUCUUCGAGACCACCCACGAAGAUGCCUGGAAGUUGCUCUUUAAGGGCAACAAGAAACCGCCGGCCACGGAUUCAGACCGUGGUCACGACUAUAAACACCCCUCCAGCGAGGACUGGAUGAAGAGGGCGAAGCGGAUCCAGUGUCCGGCUCCGCUGCCCGAAGAACCGGUCAUCCCACGCCUAGCGGAGAUGCUGGUGCCGGCGCAUUAUAAGGUGCCGGAGAAGAAGGCCAAGAAAAAGGCCAAGGGGGCGAAGAGUGGCCCCCGUCGCAAGGGCACUUCGGGCGCGACGUCUGAAGACGAUGAGGCCCAUUCCUCUGUCCCUGAGGACAAUGACGAGGAAGAGGAGAAGAAGAAGAGGGCGGUCUCGGCACAUCCGGAGGCGAAAGCGCCCAAAAAGGGGAAGGGCGCCCCAGUGGUCAAUACCACGUGGGAUGUUGACAGUAGUCCGGAAUGACGCCCCCGCACUAAGCCCCAGGCCGCAUCGUAAGUGACACAGCUUAUUAAUGCGCACAUCCAGCCCUUUCUCUUUAUUAUUUUAACAUGGUUAACUACACCAUUGCAGUCUGGCCCGUGACCUUAUCCAGCGAUCCUCAUCUGGAGGUUCGUUGGCUCCAUCGGAGAUGGCGAGCAUGUCGCCACCGGCUGCUUACUCCCCCGGGGCCAGGGACGACACCGAAGUGCUGUCCCGGAGGACUGCAUCGAAGGGAGGAGCCCAGGACGUUGUCCGGGAGGCGCCACAAGGCGAGACCUCCGCUGCCGGACACAUGGGGGAACCAAUCCCCAUGAAGACUGGCGAGGAGGGCCGUAUCCAGUUCGACCCUUAGCCGAAUACGAUUCCGGAGACCCAUAUGGCUCCAGAGUCGGGCGAGCAGCCCCCUUUGAAGGAGGGGGGUGCACCGCCUCCACCGGUGGCUCCUGUCUAUCCAGGAGCGUCAGAUGAUCUGAUGGGGGCGCUACUAAGCGCCUCCGUUGUGGACGAGCACCGUGUCCUUAUGGGUGCGGUGACCGAGAAGGUUCAGUCCGCCAAGACCGGACUUAAUGAAGCCUGCAGCAGCCUAUUAACAGGU